AUUGAACGCUGGCGGCAGGCCUAACACAUGCAAGUCGAGCGAGCGGCGGACGGGUGCGUAAUGUCUGGGAACCUGCCUGAUGGAGGGGGAUAACUACUGGAAACGGUAGCUAAUACCGCAUACCAUCAGAUGUGCCCAGAUGGGAUUAGCUAGUAGGUGGGUUAACGGCCAACCUAGGCGACGAUCCCUAGCUGGUCUGAGAGGAUGACCAGCCACACUGGAACUGAGACACGGUCCAGAAUCCUACGGGAGGCAGCAGUGGGGAAUAUUGGACAAUGGGCGCAAGCCUGAUGCAGCCACGCCGCGUGAGUGAAGAAGGCCUUCGGGUUGUAAAGCACGUUCAGCGGGGAGGCGUUACCCGCAGAAGAAGCACCGGCUAACUCCGUGCCAGCAGCCGCGGUAAUUC
rnacentral:rRNA from 1 species